UACGAAGGGGGCUAGCGUUGCUCGGAAUCACUGGGCGUAAGCGCGCGCAGGCGGCUAUCCAAGUCAGUGGUGAAAGCCCGGAGCUCAACUCCGGAACUGCCAUUGAACUGUUUAGCUUGAGGACGAGAGAGGUGUGUGGAACUGCGAGUGUAGAGGUGAAAUUCGUAGAUAUUCGCAAGAACACCAGUGGCGAAGGCGGCUCACUGGCCCGAUACUGACGCUGAGGCACGAAAGCGUGGGGAGCAAACAGGG
rnacentral:rRNA from 1 species